rnacentral:rRNA from 1 species
AGAGUUUGAUCCUGGCUCAGGAUGAACGCUGGCGGCGUGCCUAACACAUGCAAGUCGAGCGAAGCACUCCACUUUGAUUUCUUCGGAAUGAAGAGAGGUUUGACUGAGCGGCGGACGGGUGAGUAACGCGUGGGUAACCUGCCUCAUACAGGGGGAUAACAGUUAGAAAUGACUGCUAAUACCGCAUAAGACCACAGCACCGCAUGGUGCAGGGGUAAAAACUCCGGUGGUAUGAGAUGGACCCGCGUCUAAUUAGCUAGUUGGUAAGGUAACGGCUUACCAAGGCGACGAUCAGUAGCCGACCUGAGAGGGUGACCGGCCACAUUGGGACUGAGACACGGCCCAAACUCCUACGGGAGGCAGCAGUGGGGAAUAUUGCACAAUGGGGGAAACCCUGAUGCAGCGACGCCGCGUGAGCGAAGAAGUAUUUCGGUAUGUAAAGCUCUAUCAGCAGGGAAGAAAGUGACGGUACCUGACUAAGAAGCACCGGCUAAAUACGUGCCAGCAGCCGCGGU